UCUUACUUGAAAAAUAAACUGAUUAACUGUUUCUUUCUUUUUUUAAGGUUUGAGAUCAUAAUAGAUGUUAGCAGCCUAAGAAGUAGGGACUGUGUGACCAUCCUCAAUGGAAAGGCUUUCUCAAAGGACUGUAGAGAGCUGAGACGAUGUGCAUGUCAGAGGAUGGCAGCAAGAGUGGAGCCCGAAAAUCUUCACUAGCCCACUUGAACCAGCAGAUGAAGGGGACUGACCGUUCUGCUUCAGCUACCAACAAAAGAACUGAGCCAAGGGAGGCCAAUGCAAGGCAUAUUUGAGACACUGGGAAAUGGAAAAUAAUCAGGAAAGGCAAAAUCUUCAACUGGUACUAUCAGGAUUCCCAUUUUUCUUGUUUGGGAUCACUAGCAUUUCUGAAUUUGGGGGUCAUGCACAUAUUUACCAGUCACAAGAAGUCUUCAUCUGUAAACCACCAACCAGUCCCAGAAACCCUUACAGUUUUUAUCCACUUUCUUGACUUAGAAAUAACCUUCUGGUUUUCUUCCUUCUCAACAUCCAACAUCAUCUCCCUAUUUCUAUGUCUUCCUCAUAUGUACAGAAGGGACACACUCACUAAAAGAGAGGAAUUAAAUGGAAGUCACAUCCUUUGCUCCAGAGGCAGGUGGUCCAGGGGAAAUUAACAGACCUUCCCAUUCUGUGCUUCUAAGUGCAUGACUAAUUCUUUUUGUUCCUCUUCAGUUUACACUUUUCCUUUCCCAGUCUGUCAAUCAAGACUGCAUCUGAAACAGCUGAAACAACUCCUUUUAUGAGAAUCUUAACUUCUUAUAAACAUACCUCUGCAUACCCAUUAAUACUCCAAUAGUUGUUUCUUUUUUCCUAAGAAUUUCUCAAAUCCCCUUUACAUAGAAUCACUGCCCUUGAUACCCGCUUCAGAGAGAUUGAAGAUCAGUAAGAAAAAGAAAAAGAAAAAGAAAAAGAAAACAACCUCUCUUAUGUGCACCAGAAAUAAUUUGGUAUCAGUUCUUAUUUUCUCCCAUUUGAUCCAUUUUUAUACCAUUCAGGUACUGAAGAGUUAAUAAUAAUAAAUAUAAAUAAUGUAAAGUGUGUGUGAUUUUAGAAUGGAUUUGUGAUUUGGGGAAAAAUUAAGCAUGAAAAUUCUUUUCAGAGUAUGAUAAUAAUCAUUGUUUUGAUUGUGCCUUACUGAGAGUUUAUGAGGACUCUGCGAAUUGCUUAUGUGAUUAUUUAUGGAAAAAUCCAAGCCUUUGAAAUACAUAUUAUCUUCAAGGAGAAGGUUUUAAUAUUUUCCUAAAAUGAGAUAUUGAAGCAAAAUUAUGACAUCAACACGACUGGUGAGUAAACUGCUUUGCAAUAGACCACAUGAUUUCCAGUCAGGUCAUGGAAAGUGAAAGAGACUGACAAACUACAGAGCUGAAUUUUAGACUGGAUAAGGUCUUUCUCA
rnacentral:lncRNA from 1 species